ACUCAAAUGAAUUGACGGGGGCCCGCACAAGCGGCGGAGCAUGUUGCUUAAUUCGACGCAACGCGAAGAACCUUACCAAGGCUUGACAUCGCCGGUGCGCCCGCAGAGAUGCGGGGUCCUUUAGGGGGCCGGUGACAGGUGGUGCAUGGCUGUCGUCAGCUCGUGUCGUGAGAUGUUGGGUUAAGUCCCGCAACGAGCGCAACCCUCGUUCCAUGUUGCCAGCACGUUAUGGUGGGGACUCAUGGGAGACCGCCGGGGUCAACUCGGAGGAAGGUGGGGAUGACGUCAAGUCAUCAUGCCCCUUAUGUCUUGGGCUGCAAACAUGCUACAAUGGCCGGUACAGAGGGCAGCGAUACCGUGAGGUGGAGCGAAUCCCUUAAAGCCGGUCUCAGUUCGGAUUGGGGUCUGCAACUCGACCCCAUGAAGUCGGAGUCGCUAGUAAUCGCAGAUCAGCAACGCUGCGGUGAAUACGUUCCCGGGCCUUGUACACACCGCCCGU
rnacentral:rRNA from 1 species